rnacentral:lncRNA from 1 species
GCUACAUGUGGCUGCUGAGCACUUGAAAUGUGGCUAGUGCCACUGAGGAGGUGAGUUUUGAGUUCUGUUUAAAUAGCCGCAUGUGACUAGUGCCUACCAUACUGGACAGUGCAGAUCUGUCUAGAAUUUCCAAAGGAAAGCCGUUGUCACUCUCAUUGUAAGGCCUGUGUGGUUGGGGGAGUGGAGUGGACUAGGGGGCCUUCCUGACCCCCCUCAGAUUGGGUGCCUGUUAAUUAAGAGUGAAAGAAAACCAAGAGAGCAACAACAAACUGUUACAUCCUCAUGUUCUUUUGUCACUACACAGGCACUGGGCAAGGCAUUUUGCAUAUAUUAUCUCACUUAAUCUUUACGAUGAAAACAAGGACAACAACAGAUUAACCCAUUUUUCAGAUGAAGAAACUGAGGCUCAAAGAGACUGUGAACUGUGCUCAAGGUCACACAGUAGAGCUGCCUCUCACCCCAGAGGGCACAAGAACUCCUAUCUGACAAGAGCUAUUUCUGUACAGAUGGAAAUAAAAGGGCCUCUCCCC